UAUAGAAUAUCUUCCAUGUACUUUAUCAUUUAUCUACAAUAGCCUGCCUGCAUUCAGUGUGCUGCCUGUGCUGUUCAUAGUGCGCCCUGCGCUAAUGACUGACAGGAGGAAGUCUGAGGCAUAUUGGUACAACAUAGACGUUUUCCAGGGUGUGGGUGCCCACAGAGAGGGCUCUGAGUGCCGCCUCUGGCACCCGUGCCAUAGGUUCGCCAUCAUUGCUUCAAGAGGUACAGCAGACCCUCAC